AACGAACGCUGGCGGCAUGCCUAACACAUGCAAGUCGAACGAGAUCUUCGGGUCUAGUGGCGCACGGGUGCGUAACGCGUGGGAAUCUGCCCUUUGGUUCGGAAUAACAGUUGGAAACGACUGCUAAUACCGGAUGAUGACGAAAGUCCAAAGAUUUAUCGCCAGAGGAUGAGCCCGCGUAGGAUUAGCUAGUUGGUGUGGUAAAGGCGCACCAAGGCGACGAUCCUUAGCUGGUCUGAGAGGAUGAUCAGCCACACUGGGACUGGGACACGGCCCAAACUCCUACGGGAGGCAGCAGUGGGGAAUAUUGGACAAUGGGCGAAAGCCUGAUCCAGCAAUGCCGCGUGAGUGAUGAAGGCCUUAGGGUUGUAAAGCUCUUUUACCCGGGAUGAUAAUGACAGUACCGGGAGAAUAAGCUCCGGCUAACUCCGUGCCAGCCGCCCGCCGUAA
rnacentral:rRNA from 1 species